GGGGGCGCACCGGGUUCGACGGGGAACAGUGCGGUUCGAGGGUUGCGCAUCGGGUUUGCACCCGUAAAACGGCAAGUUAUACCUGCCAACGACAACUACGCUCUCGCGGCUUAAUUGACCGUGACGUUCCAGCCAUGGGCCAUUGUCCACGGCACGGGCUGGGGCGACGCUAAAGUGGACUGAACGCUGAGGUUGGUUCCGCUCCUCAGCGGGAUCGUCAAAUCGGAACUGGCGCUUGCGUAGGAGGCCUUCUGCAUUGCGCAAGGGCGAUGACCCUAAGUGAAGGCUAUGUGCGUAGAUACUUUCGGGACGCGUUUCUCGGACGUGGGUUCAAUUCCCACCGCCUCCACCA
rnacentral:tmRNA from 1 species